UUAUCACUAGUUUGCCAGUCACACAGAGUGAGGGCAUGGAUGAGAUCAAGGCCCAGUUUUCUUGCUAAGUAUUGUACAAACUCCAAGCAAGAGUCCUACAAAAGGAGGUAUCUGCUUUACAGAGGCAAACGGAUGGAAUUAGGCUGAGAGUUAAAAUAACUGGUUCUCAGCAGCUGAACUGGGAACCCAACCUAGGACUCUCUAUCCUGGGAUGUGCUGCUUGUUGAUUUAGACAUCUUUUCUUUUUAUAUUUAUUCUGAAUCACUGAAAUGACUAAUUGAAUAAAUGCCAUGCCCUUUGGAGCACUGCUUAUUGUAUUUCUAGAGAACAGAUUACCUAUUCUGUCAGUCUGUUGGAGGUAUUAAGAGUGAUACACUCAUCAAGAAAAACUGUAGGUUGGGUGUGACUGAAAACUUGGUCUUUUCUCCUGUAGGGAAAUCUGAACCUCUGCUUGUGGUGUGAUGGACAGAUCAUGAAGACUCUGGGACUACCACAUCAUCCCAUUCUACUCCGCUUUCAGGUUGCAAUUAGAAGUUGCAUUGGGAAGAAGCAACUUCCAUGUAAAGCUGUGAAUGAAACAUCAACAUUAUUCCAGUGAUCUUGAAGCAAGAGUGGCCUAUCAGCUAAAGUUGUGUGAACUAAAUCAUAUAUUCCCCAACUACAGCUAAAACCCAUUGCCAAUUUUAGCCUAAUCUUCACUUCUGCCAAAGAAAAGAGAGACUCUUUGAGCUGCAAGUGUGAAAUGCCAGAUGAUCCACAGGUCUCUUACUGUCUGCAGGAGAAUAAUACAGGCGAAAGACCCGAUUCUCAGAGGCCACCUCCAGCGCUUGUCAUUCCUGAUCUGCAACAUCACCUGUUGUUCCAAUACGAAGCUCCUCUAGACCAGAAACUGGAGCAAAGAAUAGAAAUACGUGUUUGUCAUUGAACUGAACUGAGAAGAAGGAAGAGCAGAAUGAUAAGAUCAUAGCCUGCAGCACUUUGUUUAUGAGAACAUCCUUCCAGUGAUAUAUGCCUGCACCAGGUGAAAGUAUUGUGUCACCCUUAACAUAUUUUAAAUGCCAGGGCUGUCAUGCAAGAAGACAAUGAUGAACAAGUUUAAACAGAAUAUGGUAUUGUAGCCAUGUACUGAGUGUUACCUUUAAAGGCUUGCACUGGUAGCGUUCCUUGGCAAAAUGUUUCCUGUGUUGUAUUUCCCUGUUGAACCUCUUUCUCAAAGCAGUUUAGACUAAAUGUAACUGUUUUGACUGCAGGUGAACCAAGAGUGAUAUGUAAACUAGUGCAUUUUCUCACACAGGUUUUUUUUUUGGCUAUUCCACAUGGUUUCCUUAUCAUAAAUACACGAGCUUCUCUUCUUGGGUAGGGAUCCCACUGGGCAAAUAGGUAAAUAAAAGCAUGUCUACACUGUGCACUGAAGUGAGUGCACGGCCUUGUCCCAGGUCACUGCGUGUCACAGGUUUUCUUGGACUAGAUCUAGUGUUUGUCCAUGAACUGAAAGCACUUUAGCAGAUGGAGCUCCCGAGACCGCAUACUCUGGUUUAGUUUCCAUCCAAAGAAUUUAGCCCACCUGCUCAGAGAUUGCUUCAUAUUGUGGAGCAAGGUAAGAGGGACGACAGGAAAUGUCAUUUCCAAAGGGCACUCCUGGGCCAAACUGAAAUGCAAACGUCGAAGCACCUAUUGUCACAGAGCAAGUAUGCAGAGUUACCAUCUACAUGGCAGUUUUCUUCACUGAUAUUUAUCUUGAGCUCAACUGCACGAACACACUCACCACAUUACCGUGCUGUUUCACAACACGACUCGUUUGCUCAGACUGAUGACCUAAAUUAAGCCUUGGGAAGACCAACAUCCAACACGUGAUACUGGAUGCAGGCAUGGCCAUAUUCACCUCGGAUUCAGGUAAAAGAGUUGUAGUUAGGUAUGUCACAGUAAUGAACGCAACUGUGUCACCAAAGAGUUUUAUAUUUUUGAGACAAAUCUGAGCCAUCCUACAAACCACUCAGUACAAUGUUAAUAAUACUUUACAAGAGGAGAAAGGGCAUUUCUGAUUGUCUGAAAAAAGUACAAGCUGCUGGGAUUUCUUGAGCACUUACGGAGGUCCAAUUUGGGCUUCUCAGCAUCUCCCAUUUGUUUUUCUUUCUGUAAAAUUGAGACACCUGGCUUUUCUUACAAGGUUAUCAAGGUUUUCAAUUAAAGUUCUUUAUAAAUGGAAAUGCCUUGCAAACAGUAUUUAAUCACUUGACUAAAAAUGGUCUGCAAUGUCUUUAGGCAGUACAUUUGUUUUCAUAGGGACUAGUCACAGUGCUCAGCUUCACGUAAGGCUGCCGGAUCAUAUGCUGCAUCUUUAAGACGUAGUUUACUUCUGAAUCAGUAAAUGU